AGCCAUGGGUCUGUGCUUCCCAUGCCGGUCCCCAGAAAGGAGCAGGGAGUUUGCUGGGGGACCAUAUACAUGUACUUGUCGUAAAGAAAUGGGAAGGCUGGGGUCUGGUUUCAGGAACAAGGAGCCCAGUUUUAAAAGUAGGGAUCUGGGCUAAGCCAGCCAGCCCACCCGAAGCCAGGGAAAACAGGGCUGCAGGUGUCCUGUCUCCCAGCCUCAUCUGGCCGGCCUCCCCAAACAUUUGCCUGUCCAUCAGCUCUUCCUCCUUUCGAGUCAUGUGGAAAGGGACAGGACCAAGUGGCCUUGGUGUUUAAAUCUUGCCCUAAAUUGUAACUCACAUGAUUAUUUAAAGUCACUAGAAAUAAGUAAGCACAGCAAUAAAGUUUUAAUGGAAUAGCUUUGGCCCAGGCAGAGGCAGUUCCCAGAUGUCUCAGGACGCGUGUGAACCCCAAGAAGUUGGGGGCGUUAUCUGGGCCCUUGGGAUCCAUUCCCCUGGGUAUAAAGUGUUGGUACGUGGCUCCAGGCCUGGCCCACUCAGCCUCCCCCAGGAAGGCUUCUCAAGUGGAGAAGGUUCUUGGCCUCAGAACUCACGGCGCUGCUGCUCACGCUGACCCCCCACUAGAUGCAGAUCGGUGUAGAAAGGCCUGCCAGGGCAGGGAUGAGGGCCCCAAGCUGGAAGCAGCCCAGAAAUCCUUUUACCAGAGGACAACUCCCUAAUCCGCUGGGCAGGGGCGGGGUGUCACACGCAGGAUUCCGCGACGACUGUCACUGCCUCCUGGGCGCCCCUCUGUGCGGGAGCGGGGAGGGAAGAGGAUGGAACGCCCUGUGUCUGCCUCGGGCGCAGUGCGAGGCCCAAGCUGGUCUUUGGGCGGCCCUUGCGCACCUCUGCAGCGCUGCGACCUGGUGCCUGUAUCCCCCACGGCCUCCUCUGCUACCCA
rnacentral:lncRNA from 1 species